AGCUCCAAUAGCGUAUACUAAAGUUGUUGCAGUUAAAAAGCUCGUAGUUGAAUUUCUGGUCGUGGCGACCGGUCCGCCCCUCACGGGGUGUGCACCUGGUCUCUGCGUCCAUCCUCGGGGAGAGCGCGUCUGGCAUUCAGUUGUCGGGCGCGGGAUCCUCGUCAUUUACUGUGAGCAAAAUAGAGUGUUCAAAGCAGGCUUAGGCCGUUGAAUACAUUAGCAUGGAAUAAUAAGAUAGGACCUUGGUCUAUUUUGUUGGUUUGCAUUCCAAGGUAAUGAUUAAUAGGGAUAGUUGGGGGUAUUCGUAUUCAAUUGUCAGAGGUGAAAUUCUUGGAUUUAUGGAAGACGAACUACUGCGAAAGCAUUUACCAAGGAUGUUUUCAUUA
rnacentral:rRNA from 1 species